rnacentral:misc_RNA from 1 species
GAUGAAGAACGUAGCGAAAUGCGAUAAGUAGUGUGAAUUGCAGAAUUCAGUGAAUCAUCGAAUCUUUGAACGCACAUUGCGCCCUUUGGUAUUCCUUAGGGCAUGCCUGUUCGAGCGUCAUUUGAAACCUCAAGCUCAGCUUGGUGUUGGGUGUCUGUCCCCGCCUCACCGCGGGGACUCGCCUCAAAAUCAUUGGCGGCCGGUACGUUAGCUUCGAGCGCAGCAGAAACGCGAACUCGAGGCCCGGCGGAUCGGCGACCAGAAGUCACUUCUUCACAGUUUGACCUCGGAUCAGGUAGGGAUACCCGCUGAACUUAAGCAUAUCAAUAAGCGGAGGA